CUUGCUCUUCUGGGUGUUGGUCACUUUUUGCUCGCAACUUGGCUGUGUUUCACCAACCAUCCUCAUGUUGCAUAUGGUUCUUCUCUUUCCAUCGUUCGAGAGAAACUCUUGUGUCUCGCUUUUCUGGGACUUGUCCAAUUUCGCUUGCUACACCAAGCGUUCACGCAAGCGAUCUUCUCUCGUCCGCUCUUUGUAUCAUCUUGCAGGUACUCCCCGAUAUACGCUAUUAAUGCGGACCGGAGGCAAUAGCGUAUCUCGAAUAUUAGCAAAUGUCGAGUUUUCAGUCAAAUUAUAGCUAAUUUUCGUAUAAUUUUGCUUGAAGUGGUAGGAUUUACCACUUAAUUAGUUAUUUGAUCUGAUUCAACUGAAGAUUACAAUUGUACACCUUUUGAAAUGGCUUUUAAUAUUUGAUCAAAAGGGAAUUUAUUUUGAAUUUGAUAUUCGAUGUGUCAAAUUAGUACAAUUUGCUCAAAGAACUUUCAAAUUUAGAAAAAAAGCUUAUAGCGAAAUCGCGUAUAUCGAGUAUGGCGUAUAUCGGGGAAUACCUGUAUAGCCACCAGAGGAAGGCGCUGCUUCGCGUUCACAUGAAAAUGUGGUAGUGUGAAAUCAAGUUUGCAAGCGGUAGGCUACGUCGAUGCGUGCCCGUUUUUUUCUCUCGUGAAACCAGUACGGAAAAACUAUUUGCAAAUCGUAACACACGCACAAACGGAAGUGAGCACGGACCACGAUAGAAAUAAUUAAUUGGUUGCAGUGCCAAAAACAAAAGGACAGGAGAGGCAGGAACGAUCAUUCAACGCGUUAGCGCCGGACGAAGGAGAAGCGGCAGGAAGGCAGGAACGAUCCUCCAACGUGCUAGCGCCUGGUAGAGGAGAGGCGGCAGGAAGGUAGGGACGAUUAUCCAGCACGCUAGCGCAGCAUCUGGGAACAGCGAGGGGGAGGCAAGCAGGAAGAAUUUUUAACGCGUGCACACCAUUCGACGAAGACAACGCUGGAUGAAAGGAAGAACGAGGAGAGAAGGCAGGCAAGACGGGUACGUGUGUAUUCCGCACCGGUUUUCGGCAGUGUGAAUUGUGUGAGUAUGUAAAUUUGUAUGUGCGAGUAAGAAGGUAAAAUAAAGAGCGUAAGCAUGUACGGAAUCGACAAAUGAGAGAAAGAGCUUUGUAGGGAGAAUGAAGAGAAUGAAAGAAAUUGAGAAGGGAUGUAGCAUACAUAAACCAAAUGUAUGAUACACGCUGUCGCACGAUUUCAAAAACCUUCUCUAUAGUUCUGCUAUCGAGAACGAUUUGACCGCGCUAUAGAGAACACUUUUUCUAUACAAAAAAAACCGCUUGCAACGUGACAA